rnacentral:rRNA from 1 species
AUGCGCCAUAGGAAUUGGCCUGAGAACCCUGUGUGUUCAUUUUGUAACGAAAUAGAGACUUCCCAACACCUGUUCUUUACCUGCUCAGUUGCUAGAGUGGUGUGGCGAUCUAUUGGGGUGGCUAUUGGCACCGAUAAAUGUCCUGAUAACUAUUGGCAAUUUUUUGCUUGGUGUUAUAUCUUUCUUCCAGGAAGGGAGAAAUUCUAUACGGUUGGUCUUGCAGCCGCUUGCUGGGCAGUCUAGCUUGCUCGCAAUAAGGCUACCUUUGAGAAAAAGCAAAUUAAGUCUCCUUUUGAAAUCGUGUUCUCCAUGUGUUCUUUUCUGUUGUAUUGGACAGGGCUGCAGAAGGGUGACGACGCCGACAAGCUAUGCUCAGGUGCCGAGAUGAUCAGGGCCAGCACGAUGCAGCUGAUGAGACUUUGCGGGGCUGCCGCCUAG